GGUCCUGAAAAGGAGGAAGAGGAGAUUAUCAGGAAGGAGAUGAAAAUGUAUUGUUCUCUACAUAAAUGUGACUGCUGCCAAUAAUCCGAUUACAACCAGCAGUUUUCAACUAUUCACUUGUAGCUGUUGACUGUAUGCAGUUCUAACCCUAACCUUUUGUACUGUGUUGAAUGAAAAUGGCAAUAAAAUCGUAAAAAUAAAAUGCAAGCAUUUGAUUGAUGCUGACACACACACACACAUCAGAAAGAGCAACAGUAACUGCUACCUGCACUGUUUUGUAAAAAUCACACUCAGACGUUUCCCACUGAAAUCAGUUUAAAACUGUCUCCAAAGCUUGCUUUCUUUCUGCAUUUGGCCCUUAUUUGAUAUCUGGCCACGAGACACACAGGAAAAGCAGAGAGAAGGGGAUGACAACAACAACAAAGCUACCUGGGAUGAGCUGAACUUGGGACAAGUUAGAUGAUACACGCCUUCGACCACCAGCGUGCCUCCAAAGCAGUUUUAAAGGAUACGUAAGGAUAAGUUUUGGGAACACCGACAGGAAAUAGGAAGAGGGUGUGAAACGUGACACGUCGCCUUCACAACAGUGAUGGCAGCUUCACGGUGCAGCUGGAUCUGAACCAGAGGUGAUGUCAUCUGUGAGAACUGAGAACUUUGGAAACGUGACGACUAAUGAAGCAACAAAAGGAGGAAGAAAAGCCGAACCAAAGGCGAAGUCAGGGUCCGAAGUCAGAGGCUGAGAUUUAAAAGUGAACCAUGAUGAAGUCAAAGCCUGAAAUUGGUAUCCCACCUUCCAGACAGCCAUUGGUUUGUCUGAAGUAAGUCCAAGAACUGAUGAAAAGCACAGCACUGACGAGCUACGUGAUCACAAAAUAAACUCCAGGUGAAAUGUCAUAUAUUGCAGUUAAUGAGCUAAGUCUGAGAUAAAUAUUUGAAGUGUUAUGUUGGGUCUCUGUGAUUAAUAUUAUAAAGAGUACGGUCUAGACCUGCUCUAUAGGAAAAGCGCAAUGAGAUAACUUCUGUUAUGAAUUGGCGCUAUGUAAAUAAAAUUGACUUGAAUUAUGAUCUCCAUGUUCUUUUAUAUUAUAUAAAAUCAAAUUAAAGCAAAACACACAAAGUGGACUCCAUGCCUAACAGCAGAGGUCUUAUGUAACUGCUGUUAAGACUUAUGUAACUGUGACAAUGUGGGUCAGACACACCCUCCACCCAUUUCCAUCUUUUACUGACAUGGUGUGUGCCAAAAUAACAUUUGCAUAAUUUGAGAAAGACAUGAUCUCAGUUUUUACAAGAUGGUUAACAGAAUAAAAUAGAAACAACUUUAAGUGUAACUGAAUAGAUAACUGAUGCAGGUGAUUCCUUUGUUGCCCUAGCAAUAUUUUUAGCGUGUGUCC